rnacentral:rRNA from 1 species
UACGUAGGGUGCAAGCGUUGUCCGGAAUUAUUGGGCGUAAAGAGCUUGUAGGCGGUUUGUCGCGUCUGCUGUGAAAUUUCGGGGCUCAACCCCGAACUUGCAGUGGGUACGGGCAGACUAGAGUGUGGUAGGGGAGACUGGAAUUCCUGGUGUAGCGGUGAAAUGCGCAGAUAUCAGGAAGAACACCCGUGGCGAAAGCGGCUCUCUGGAACGGUACUGACGCUGAGACGCGAAAAGCGUGGGGAGCGAACAGG